rnacentral:lncRNA from 1 species
UGCAAUUGUUCAAUAGGUGACCAACGUGGAGGAGAGGAACAACAGCUAGAGGAGAUCAUUGAGGAAGAGGACAGACAUCGAUGGUUGGAAUGACUAUAACACAAUAAUGGCUCUAACCCGUGGUUCUAGUGAUCAUAGUUUAAAUAGGUAUAUUAGAUUAAUUAGUAGCUUUUGUUGAAGAUCUCGAUGGUAGGUUUUUGUGUAUGAUGUCAAUGGUUUACAUGUGCAUGGUUAGGCAAUGUUUAACCUUAGUGUUGAGUAUCCAGAAUUACAGAUGGCAUAAAACUAAACCUCCCUACAAACAAAAU